UACGGAGGGCGCGAGCGUUAUCCGGAUUUAUUGGGUUUAAAGGGUGCGCAGGCGGCGUGUCAAGCAAGCGGUAAAAUAGCGGGGCUCAACCCCGUCGAGCCGUUUGAACUGGCGCGCUUGAGUUCAGGCGAGGUAGGCGGAAUUCGUGGUGUAGCGGUGAAAUGCAUAGAUAUCACGAAGAACGCCGAUUGCGAAGGCAGCUUACCGGCGCUCAACUGACGCUGAGGCACGAAAGUGCGGGUAUCGAACAGG
rnacentral:rRNA from 1 species